rnacentral:rRNA from 1 species
GAUGAACGCUGGCGGCGUGCCUAAUACAUGCAAGUCGAGCGAACAGACGAGGAGCUUGCUCCUCUGACGUUAGCGGCGGACGGGUGAGUAACACGUGGAAAACCUACCUAUAAGACUGGGAUAACUUCGGGAAACCGGAGCUAAUACCGGAUAAUAUAUUGAACCGCAUGGUUCAAUAGUGAAAGACGGUUUUGCUGUCACUUAUAGAUGGAUCCGCGCCGCAUUAGCUAGUUGGUAAGGUAACGGCUUACCAAGGCAACGAUGCGUAGCCGACCUGAGAGGGUGAUCGGCCACACUGGAACUGAGACACGGUCCAGACUCCUACGGGAGGCAGCAGUAGGGAAUCUUCCGCAAUGGGCGAAAGCUUGACGGAGCAACGCCGCGUGAGUGAUGAAGGUCUUCGGAUCGUAAAACUCUGUUAUUAGGGAAGAACAAAUGUGUAAGUAACUAUGCACGUCUUGACGGUACCUAAUCAGAAAGCCACGGCUAACUACGUG